GUGUUGUGCGAGAGGAGAGAAGUUCGCUGUCCCCUUGUUGGGGAUGGAGGGGGCCCUUGGCCUGGCAACACGCUUACCGUUAGGCGUGCCGCCUGCUUCGUGGCAUCUGACCGUCAUUGGUUU
ensembl:snRNA U6atac minor spliceosomal RNA